GCUGCUGCAAUAGGAGGUUCAUCUCACCAGCAAGAGCAGCACUGCGUGAGUGUGUGCAUUUCUGCUUUACGUGAUUGUCUGCACGUCCCUUGGCACACACAGGGGCUCAGCAGUGUUGGUGUGGGAGCAGUGAGUUGUGAUGACUUCAAUCCCUACUGCCUUCUGCAGACACCCUCAGUGCCACAGUCCACAUGUUUGAAGCAUUGAGAAAGCCUGUGUAUGGCAAAGAGCAGCUGUUCCUGUCUUCAUGAGUGAUCAAAGGUAUAUAAAUCCAGAGUAGGACAGCAGUGCAGUAAACCCAUGAACUUCAUGUUCCUGUCAGUGACAGUCCUGGUAGAAGGAAAGUGCUGAGACCACCAACCCACCUGACUGCCACGGAUGUCCCCCACCUUGACUCUACACCAACAAACGCUGAGGCCUCUGGACCACAGUGCCAUGACACUGCUACUCAGUAGCUACACGACCAGCCAAGGUAUCCAUGGAAAAGGAUGUUUUUAAACCCUCUGUCAACUGCUCUUCCUUCCCAGGCUAAC